UGGAAAAUUCGGGAUUUUCAGCGAUUUUUGGUGGAAAAACUUGGAAAAAAUAGA
rnacentral:sRNA from 1 species